UACGUGGGGCGCAAGCGUUGUCCGGAAUUAUUGGGCGUAAAGAGCUCGUAGGCGGUGUGUCGCGUCGGCCGUGAAAACUUGGGGCUUAACUCUGAGCGUGCGGUCGAUACGGGCAUCACUUGAGUUCGGCAGGGGAGACUGGAAUUCCUGGUGUAGCGGUGAAAUGCGCAGAUAUCAGGAGGAACACCGAUGGCGAAGGCAGGUCUCUGGGCUGACACUGACGCUCAUGCACGAAAGCGUGGGGAGCAAACAGG
rnacentral:rRNA from 1 species